rnacentral:rRNA from 1 species
GUAGGUGGCAAGCGUUGUCCGGAAUUAUUGGGCGUAAAGCGCGCGCAGGCGGUUCUUUAAGUCUGAUGUGAAAGCCCACGGCUCAACCGUGGAGGGUCAUUGGAAACUGGAGAACUUGAGUACAGAAGAGGAAAGCGGAAUUCCACGUGUAGCGGUGAAAUGCGUAGAGAUGUGGAGGAACACCAGUGGCGAAGGCGGCUUUCUGGUCUGUAACUGACGCUGAGGCGCGAAAGCGUGGGGAGCAAACAGGAUUAGAUACCCUGGUAGUCCACGCCGUAAACGAUGAGUGCUAAGUGUUAGGGGGUUUCCGCCCCCCUUAGUGCUGCAGCUAACGCAUUAAGCACUCCGCCUAAAAAAUACGGCCGCAAGGCUG